UACGGAGGGGGCAAGCGUUGUUCGGAAUUACUGGGCGUAAAGGGCGCGUAGGCGGCCAGUUGCGUCGGGUGUGAAAGCCCCGGGCUCAACCUGGGUGGUGCACUUGAUACGGGCUGGCUGGAAUCCGGGAGAGGAUGGUGGAAUUCCCAGUGUAGAGGUGAAAUUCGUAGAUAUUGGGAAGAACACCGCUGGCGAGGGCAGCCAUCUGGACCGGGAUUGACGCUGAGGCGCGAAAGCGUGGGGAGCAAACAGG
rnacentral:rRNA from 1 species